rnacentral:lncRNA from 1 species
GAGGAGCGCUCAUGCACAUGGAUCCAAAAAAAAAAAAUUUUUUUUUAUUAUUCACGUGAUUUUAAUAGUUUAAUUUAAUUUGGGUAAACAGCUGUUGAGGAUUGUUUUAAUAUAUGAACAAAUAGAAGGUUAACAGAUCUGUUUGUUUACUUUCACCUUUCCUUUUCAUUAUAUUUAAUAAUUCUGUUCAGGAUAAUGUAAAUUGUUCUAAAUAUUGUUUUCUUAGUACCUGUUGAAAUGUUACAUAUUUUUUUUAGCAUCAUUGUCAAAAUUCCUAUUUUCAUCCCAGUGCCGGUGAAGACAAAGAUAAAACCAAACUACAACUUCUUCGAGAGUUAUCACAACAAACCGUGUAAACUGAUACAUCAAUGAUUUAUAACUCAACAAGUAAUGCUCAAUCAAUGAGUCGAUUUAUUUUGGAAGGAUAUGGACAUAUUGAUAGAUUCCUCUGCUUUGAACUGCUUACAAAACUUGCCUGGACUAUGUAUCACUUGUAUGCUUUAUUUUGGGAGGAUAUGGACAUAUUGAUAGAUUCCUCUGCUNUGGAGAUUUCACCUAGGUAAAGCUACAAGGCCUUUACUAUUGUCUUAUGUGUUAUAUGUUACGUGUGCACACUUCUGUUUUGUGUUGUAUGUCUGUAUGUGCGUAUGUCCAUAUAUCAUAUAUGAGGAGCACUCAUGCACAUGGAUCCAAAAUUUUUUUUUUAUUCACGUGAUUUUAAUAGUUUAAUUUAAUUUGGGUAAACAGCUGUUGAGGAUUGUUUUAAUAUAUGAACAAAUAGAAGGUUAACAGAUCUGUUUGUUUACUUUCACCUUUCCUUUUCAUUAUAUUUAAUAAUUCUGUUCAGGAUAAUGUAAAUUGUUCUAAAAAUUGUUUUAUUAGUACCUGUUGAAAUGUUACAUAUUUUUUUUUAGCAUCAUUGUCAAAAUUCCUAUUUUCAUCCCAGUGCCAGUGAAGACAAAGAUAAAACCAAACUACAACUUCUUUGAGAGUUAUCACAAUAAACCGUAUAAACUGAUACAUCAAUGAUUUAUAACUCAACAAGUAAUGCUCAAUCAAUGAGUUGAUUUAUUUUGGAAGGAUAUGGACAUAUUGAUA